AACGAACGCUGGCGGCAUGCCUAACACAUGCAAGUCGAACGAGACCUUCGGGUCUAGUGGCGCACGGGUGCGUAACGCGUGGGAACCUGCCCUUAGGUUCGGAAUAACUCCCCGAAAGGGGUGCUAAUACCGGAUAAUGUCUUCGGACCAAAGAUUUAUCGCCUUUGGAUGGGCCCGCGUUGGAUUAGCUAGUUGGUAGGGUAAAAGCCUACCAAGGCGACGAUCCAUAGCUGGUCUGAGAGGAUGAUCAGCCACACUGGGACUGAGACACGGCCCAGACUCCUACGGGAGGCAGCAGUGGGGAAUAUUGGACAAUGGGCGAAAGCCUGAUCCAGCAAUUCCGCGUGAGUGAUGAAGGCCUUAGGGUUGUAAAGCUCUUUUACCCGGGAUGAUAAUGACAGUACCGGGAGAAUAAGCUCCGGCUAACUCCGUG
rnacentral:rRNA from 1 species